UACGGAGGGCGCAAGCGUUGUCCGGAAUUAUUGGGCGUAAAGAGCUCGUAGGCGGUCUGUCGCGUCUGUUGUGAAAACUCGAGGCUCAACCUCGGGCUUGCAGUGGAUACGGGCAGACUAGAGUGCGGUAGGGGAGACUGGAAUUCCUGGUGUAGCGGUGGAAUGCGCAGAUAUCAGGAGGAACACCGAUGGCGAAGGCAGGUCUCUGGGCCGCAACUGACGCUGAGGAGCGAAAGCAUGGGAGCGAACAGG
rnacentral:rRNA from 1 species